GACAGUUUCAGGUGCACAGCAAAGCCAUAUGACCCUGAAAUCCCACUCCUGGGCCUAUAUCUGGAGAGAAACAUGGUCCAAAAGGAUACAUGCACCCCAGUAUCUGCAGAGCUGUUUGCAAUAGCCAAGACAUGGAAGCAACCUAAAUGUUCAUUGACAGAGGAUGGAUAAAGAAGAUGUGAUACAUAGAUAUCACAUGGCUGAGUAAUGUGGUAUUAAUAUUAAUGGAAUAUUACUAUUAUUAUUCCAUUAAUAUUAAUGGAAUACUACUCAGCCAUUAAAAAGAAUGAAAUAACACCAUUUCAGCAACAUGGAUGGACCUAGAGAUUGUCAUACUGAGUGAAGAAAACAAGCAGCUGCAAUAAUGAGGUGUAAUAAAUCAGGUGCUGAGCUCAUGGCAGGAGUUACAAAUUAUUCAAGACUUUCACACAGGAGCUUGGACUAAGAAUAUUCAGCAGAAGCAAUUAUGAUAAAAUUACCUUGGAAGAACACUGGAAGUUUAUUUUUGAGACUAGUCAUCUCUUGUUCAAUAGCAGGUGAAUA
ensembl:lncRNA